AGCAAAGUCUGAGAGGUUGUGU
rnacentral:piRNA from 1 species